rnacentral:tRNA from 1 species
GUGGGUAUAGCUCAGUGGUAGAGCACAUGCAUAAGGUCCUGGGUCAAUCCCCAGUACCGCCA